rnacentral:tRNA from 1 species
AGUGGUGCAGUGGUUAGCACUCUUGCCUCACAGCAAGAAGGCCCUGGUUCAAGUCCUGGCU